AGCGGGUCCCUGCGGCUCAGGAUGGAGGCUGGACACCUGUUCUGCUGUUGUGUCUUGCCAUUCUCCUGAAGAACAGAGGCACACUGUAAAACCCAACAUUUCCCCUUGCAUUCUAUGAGAUUACAGCAAGAUGGAAAUACCAAAUCCCCCUACCUCCAAAUGUAUCACUUACUGGAAAAGAAAAGUGAAAUCUGAAUACAUGCGACUUCGACAACUUAAACGGCUUCAGGCAAAUAUGGGUGCAAAGGCUUUGUAUGUGGCAAAUUUUGCAAAGGUUCAAGAAAAAACCCAGAUCCUCAAUGAAGAAUGGAAGAAGCUUCGUGUCCAACCUGUUCAGUCAAUGAAGCCUGUGAGUGGACACCCUUUUCUCAAAAAGUGUACCAUAGAGAGCAUUUUCCCGGGAUUUGCAAGCCAACAUAUGUUAAUGAGGUCACUGAACACAGUUGCAUUGGUUCCCAUCAUGUAUUCCUGGUCCCCUCUCCAACAGAACUUUAUGAGAUGAUCCCUGGAUCCGUCCUGAUUAGUGAUGCUGUUUUUCUGGAGUUGGUCGAUGCCCUGAAUCAGUACUCAGAUGAGGAGGAGGAAGGGCACAAUGACACCUCAGAUGGAAAGCAGGAUGACAGCAAAGAAGAUCUGCCAGUAACAAGAAAGAGAAAGCGACAUGCUAUUGAAGGCAACAAAAAGAGUUCCAAGAAACAGUUCCCAAAUGACAUGAUCUUCAGUGCAAUUGCCUCAAUGUUCCCUGAGAAUGGUGUCCCAGAUGACAUGAAGGAGAGGUAUCGAGAGCUAACAGAGAUGUCAGACCCCAAUGCACUUCCCCCUCAGUGCACACCCAACAUCGAUGGCCCCAAUGCCAAGUCUGUGCAGCGGGAGCAAUCUCUGCACUCCUUCCACACACUUUUUUGCCGGCGCUGCUUUAAAUACGACUGCUUCCUUCACCCUUUUCAUGCCACCCCUAAUGUAUAUAAACGCAAGAAUAAAGAAAUCAAGAUUGAACCAGAACCAUGUGGCACAGACUGCUUCCUUUUGCUGGAAGGAGCAAAGGAGUAUGCCAUGCUCCAUAACCCCCGCUCCAAGUGCUCUGGUCGUCGCCGGAGAAGGCACCACAUAGUCAGUGCUUCCUGCUCCAAUGCCUCAGCUUCUGCUGUGGCUGAGACUAAAGAAGGAGACAGUGACAGGGACACAGGCAAUGACUGGGCCUCCAGUUCUUCAGAGGCUAACUCUCGCUGUCAGACUCCCACAAAACAGAAGGCUAGUCCAGCCCCACCUCAACUGUGCGUAGUGGAAGCACCCUCGGAGCCUGUGGAAUGGACUGGGGCUGAAGAAUCUCUUUUUCGAGUCUUCCAUGGCACCUACUUCAACAACUUCUGUUCAAUAGCCAGGCUUCUGGGGACCAAGACGUGCAAGCAGGUCUUUCAGUUUGCAGUCAAAGAAUCACUUAUCCUGAAGCUGCCAACGGAUGAGCUCAUGAACCCCUCACAGAAGAAGAAAAGAAAGCACAGACUGUGGGCUGCACACUGCAGGAAGAUUCAGCUGAAGAAAGAUAACUCUUCCACACAAGUGUACAACUACCAACCCUGCGACCACCCAGACCGCCCCUGUGACAGCACCUGCCCCUGCAUCAUGACUCAGAAUUUCUGUGAGAAGUUCUGCCAGUGCAACCCAGACUGUCAGAAUCGUUUCCCUGGCUGUCGCUGUAAGACCCAGUGCAAUACCAAGCAAUGUCCUUGCUAUCUGGCAGUGCGAGAAUGUGACCCUGACCUGUGUCUCACCUGUGGGGCUUCAGAGCACUGGGACUGCAAGGUGGUUUCCUGUAAAAACUGCAGCAUCCAGCGUGGCCUUAAGAAGCACCUGCUGCUGGCCCCCUCAGAUGUGGCCGGAUGGGGCACCUUCAUAAAGGAGUCUGUGCAGAAGAACGAAUUCAUUUCUGAAUACUGUGGUGAGCUCAUCUCUCAGGAUGAGGCUGAUCGACGCGGAAAGGUCUAUGACAAAUACAUGUCCAGCUUCCUCUUCAACCUUAAUAAUGAUUUUGUAGUGGAUGCUACUCGGAAAGGAAACAAAAUUCGAUUUGCAAAUCAUUCAGUGAAUCCCAACUGUUAUGCCAAAGGUGAGUCCCAGUGACCUGGGAGGUGGGGUGGGGGAUGGAUGCCUCUUUACUGUGAUUUCCAUCCGUUGUUGAACCUUUUCCUUAGCUGAGCUAUUUUUUGUCCAAAGAUAAUCAUGAUUAAUAUCUGGUAUCAUUUUAGGCCCCUCUCAAUCUUAGUUUUGUAAUCUGCUUUUUUCAGUGAAUACAUUAUAAACACUUUCCCACAAAUGUGAUUUAACCAGCCUGAGCAACAUAGUGAGACCCAUCUCACAAAAUAAUAAUAGGCUGGGUGUGGUGGCUUA
rnacentral:sRNA from 1 species